UUUUUUUUUUGUUUUCUUUCCCACAGCUUCCAGCCGCCGCUCACCAUUUUCGAUUCCACCAUCUCCCCUUCUCCUCAGCCAAAUAACCAAGACCAACCCCUCACUUCCUUUGGUUCUCCCUGGAGCCGACUGAGAAGAAGACCAACUCUCAUUUUCCUUCCUUCUCCCACAGCCCGGUCAUCAACACACAACCCAUCUUUUCCAGCUUCUUCUCCCAAACCAGAGCAGCCACCUCUGCACUCCCCCAUCUCCCUGUCAUCUUCCCUCUCUCGGCUGUCUCUCCCCAUUGUCAGCCUCUCAACCUCCAAAACCAGUCAUUCCCCCCCUCAGCCGACUUAGAGCAUCCAGCCAAGACCAAAGAGAAGCCACCUCUUCUCUUUGACAGAACAAAAUCCCCUCACUCUCUCAUUUCUAUCGCUAGGUCUCUUCUCCAUUCGGCCCCAGCGACGGCCGAACAACAGCAGCGCCGUCCCCCUCCAUCCCAGCUGUUCCCUUCCAUCGGCCUCCCUCCCCGGCCAUCUCACAUAUCUCCAACCAGCCGGCCAACAGCAGCGUCUCCUUCCCCAUCAGCAGCGUCUGCUUUCCCUUUCGGUCUCAACUGUAGCGACCAAAGCAGGCGCUGUACUCUCCAGCUCCUCCCCCACGCAUGGCUGCACCCGCAGCUCCUGCCUCCAGCCUCCAGCACUCCUUCCUCAGCCGACAGGUCUGCCAUCUGAAGAAGGAAAGAACAGAAAACUAAGGGGGAGAAAGAAGACCGGGAGCAGAUCUGAGAAGGAAAAAAUGAAAUAAAAAAAACCAUUGCUUGUUGCCUUUUCUUGGCUUUGC
rnacentral:lncRNA from 1 species